CGAGUGAAGCGGCAACAGCUCAAAUUUGAAAUCUGGCCCUUUCGGGGUCCGAGUUGUAAUUUGUAGAGAGUGCUUCGGGGGAGGCGGCGGUCUAAGUCCAUUGGAACAUGGCGUCAUAGAGGGUGAGAAUCCCGUAUGCGACCGUGGCUCGAACCCAUGUGAAGCCUCUUCGACGAGUCGAGUUGUUUGGGAAUGCAGCUCAAAAUGGGUGGUAAAUUUCAUCUAAAGCUAAAUACCGGCUGGAGACCGAUAGCGCACAAGUAGAGUGAUCGAAAGAUGAAAAGCACUUUGGAAAGAGAGUCAAACAGUACGUGAAAUUGUUGAAAGGGAAGCGCUUGCAACCAGACCUGCCCGCAGGCGAUCAGCCGCUGUUCUCAGCGGUGCACUCGCCCUGCGAUCAGGCCAGCAUCGGUUUCGGCGGUCGGAUAAAGGCCUUGGGAAUGUAGCUCCCCUUCGGGGGAGCCUUAUAGCCCUCGGUGCAAUGCGGCCAGCCGAGACCGAGGACCGCGCUUCGGCUAGGAUGCUGGCGUAAUGGUUGUAAGCGACCCGUCUUGAAACACGGACCAAGGAGUCUAACAUCUAUGCGAGUGUUUGGGUGUCAAACCCAUGCGCGGAAUGAAAGUGAACGGAGGUGAGAACCCUGAAGGGCGCAUCAUCGACCGAUCCAGAUGUCUUCGGAUGGAUUUGAGUAUGAGCAUAGCUGUUGGGACCCGAAAGAUGGUGAACUAUGCCUGAAUAGGGUGAAGCCAGAGGAAACUCUGGUGGAGGCUCGCAGCGGUUCUGACGUGCAAAUCGAUCGUCAAAUUUGGGUAUAGGGGCGAAAGACUA
rnacentral:rRNA from 1 species